GACGAACGCUGGCGGCGUGCUUAACACAUGCAAGUCGAACGGAAAGGCCUGCUUUCCCUUGUGGAUUGCGGGUACUCGAGUGGCGAACGGGUGAGUAACACGUGAGUGAUCUGCCCCCAACUUGGGUAUAAGCCUGGGAAACUGGGUCUAAUUCCCGAUAGGACUGCAGGGUGGUGCCUGUGGUGGAAAACGAUUUUCUAGUGGUUGGGGAUGAGCUCGCGGCCUAUCAGCUUGUUGGUGGGGUAAUGGCCUACCAAGGCGGCGACGGGUAGCCGGCCUGGGAGGGUGGGCGGCGUCAUGGGGAGUGGGAUACGGGCCAGACACCUACGGGAGGCAGCAGUGGGGAAAAUUGCGCAAUGGGCGGAAGACUGAGGCAGCGACGCGGCGCGGGGGAUGACGGCCUUCGGGUUGUAAAAUCCUUUCGAGCGCGAGGAAGACACGUGGCUGGGAGGGUGGUGACGGUAGUGGUAGAAGAAGCACCGGCUAACUACGUG
rnacentral:rRNA from 1 species